rnacentral:lncRNA from 10 species
CGAAGCUCCGCGCCGAGGGCCCGCGUUCCCGGGCUCGGGCUCCCUGCGCGGCCCCGGCGCGCCCUGCGGCGGCGGCGUCUGCAAUGCAGCCGGCGGGAGGAGCCGGCGCUGCGCAACGAGCGGGGAGGCGUGGGGGCCAGGCUGGAGGGAGGGGGCCGGGGCCCGAGGACCCGGGGAGGGCCAGGGCGGGGCGGAGGACGCCGGCUUUGGGGAGGGGGUGCGGCGCUGGGCCCCCUUAGCUGGAGUGCAGGCUCCGCCCACCCUUUGGGUCUAACCUCCGCGUUCCAAAGUUCCAGCUCCAGCCCUGCGCACUUGGGGACUUCUGCGUGAGGGUCUCUCGCCCCGGCCACAAAUCCCGAGCCGCACCUCUUAAUCGAGGCUCAGGCGUCCCGAGCGGAUCCCGCUUUCUUUUUUCCCUGUGCUGUUUGCAGUCCCACGGCCUCGCACAGAGAAAGUGCCUGACCCCAAGACCUGUGAUGAGACCGCCUAUUUUGUUUUUGUUAUAUACUAAUAGAUAUAGAUAUAUAGAUACAGUCAAUUAUCUGUAAAAUCGGCCAUGUCUCUGCCACCUGGGUAAAAAGGUGUCUCGAAAUUGGGGGCGGAGUCUCUUUUCUGACCCUACCCAAACGCACACAGAAACAACCCCAACAUUUGCAGAGCCCUUAAGCCUGUACACCCAAUGAGGAAUCGCUGGUUAGAGGCCGCGUGAAGGACACCCUGACCAAGCUGGGUCCUGCCCAUGCCGGUAGAUCGUCCAUGGCUUCCCUUGGGGGCUGCCACCCACUGUAAACCUGAGCAAGUUCCUCUCCUGUUCCGAAGCCUGCCCUGGCAAAGCCCCAGUACAUAUUCCAAUCCUGCUCUAGGGAGACUCCUAUGCAUUCAUCAAGGUCCAGCUCAAAUCUGGCCACCCUCAGUGGCUUUUCCUGACGCUCUCAGCAGAACCAAACCUCCAGCUUUGUUAUGUGUUGGUGUUGCAGUACACAUGCCGGGGAACUCGUGGUGAUUUGGAUCCAGUUCAGGCACCUGAAGCCCAGUUAAAGAGAAGGAAUCUUCAGUCUUUUCUCUCUCAG